UACGAAGGGUGCAAGCGUUAAUCGGAAUUACUGGGCGUAAAGGGUGCGUAGGCGGUUCGGAAAGAGAGGUGUGAAAUCCCCGGGCUUAACCUGGGAAUGGCAUUGGUGACUGCACGGCUAGAGUGUGUCAGAGGGGGGUAGAAUUCCACGUGUAGCAGUGAAAUGCGUAGAGAUGUGGAGGAACACCGAUGGCGAAGGCAGAUCUCUGGGCCGUAACUGACGCUGAGGAGCGAAAGCAUGGGGAGCGAACAGG
rnacentral:rRNA from 1 species